GCAACGGAUAUCUCGGCUCACGCAUCGAUGAAGAACGUAGCAAAAUGCGAUACUUGGUGUGAAUUGCAGAAUCCCGUGAACCAUCGAGUUUUUGAACGCAAGUUGCGCCCAAAGCCAUCCGGUUGAGGGCACGCCUGCCUGGGCGUCACGCAUCGCGUCGCC
rnacentral:rRNA from 5 species